UACGGAGGGUGCAAGCGUUAUCCGGAUUUACUGGGUUUAAAGGGUGUGUAGGCGGGCAUUUAAGUCUGGGGUGAAAUCUCCGAGCUCAACUCGGAAACUGCCUUGGAUACUAUUUGUCUUGAAUUAUGUUGAGGUUGGCGGAAUAUAACAUGUAGCGGUGAAAUGCAUAGAUAUGUUAUAGAACACCGAUUGCGAAGGCAGCUGACUAAGCAUAUAUUGACGCUGAGGCACGAAAGCGUGGGUAGCGAACAGG
rnacentral:rRNA from 1 species